AUGAAGCUAGCUGGCUGCUUAUAUCGUUAGCUUUGGGCAAAAGGGUUAAGUAGCUGGAUAGCUAUUUAUUUUAAUAAACCUAAGUUCAGUUCCAAUUGGCGAACAACAAGUGGCUACCUAGCUAAUACUUACAAGGAUUCCUAAAUCAUUGUUAAGAAUAAUGAAAAUUACUGCAAUUUCUACUGGUCAUAGUUUUCUGGCUGGUUGUAUUGGUGCUAGCUAGGUACCAAGCUAAAGCUAGUUAUCCCAAACACCGCUUCCCAUUAACUUCAAUGGAAGUUGGCGUGGGAGGCGGUGAAAAAAGUUCAACUUUACCCAUCUUUAUGCAAAUCACCAGAGACGACCACUGGGUGAUGACCAAUCAUAUCGAGUGGUUCGUCCCAUGACGAAUUUGUCGCUAUGCGACCCAAGGCUAGAGACGUUCUUCAGCAAAGAUGGCUGACAAAAAUACUAGGACGGAAGCAAAUGGACUCCUGAAACAACCAGCAAACCAGGCUGUCAUCUUGUGAAACAGUGGAUGUAAAGAAUCUAGUAGCUAGCUAAAGCAUUGACUGCAAAUUGAAUGUAACAUUUGUUCAGCUUGCCUUGCUGAUAUUUGCCAUGCAAGGGAGAUAGCUAACUACGUUCUUGCCUAUUGUGCAGUGGAGGAUAAAAAAAAUACCUGUAUAUGCCUAUGGAUGUGUAGCUAGCUAUCUAGCCGAUCUGUGUAUGGACCCAAACGUUUGGUAUACAUAUUUGUUCAGAACCAAGCUAUCAUAGCCAGUUGUAUUAACUUCAAAACAGUCAAUGACAUUAAUGAAGCCUAAGGAUUCAGUAGAAUAUAACUUUGUGCCAAGGAUGCAAGUCGUAUAUACAUGUAGUUAUUACCAUGCAUGAGAUCCCCACAUUGUAGCCUGUAUAUUUAAUAUGUUCAAUGAUCAUGUACUCUACCUUGGCAAAUACAGGUGCAGUUCAGGUA